AAAAGUUUAGUAAAUAUUACUUUAGAUUGUCAAUCUAAGAUUAGCUUAGGCUAACUUUUU
rnacentral:tRNA from 1 species